CAGAGGGUAGUUUAAUUAAAAAUAUUAAUUUUGGAGAUUAAAGAUAUUCAUUUUCCUCUGA
rnacentral:tRNA from 1 species